GGGGGCGAAAGGCUUCGACUUAAGAAGCAAGUUAAGGGUUGCAUGCCGAGGGUGUCAGGUGGCCUCGAUAAAACCUGACAACAAAGUUAAACGCGAAUGAACUCGCGCUAGCUGCUUAAUUAAGCAGCACGUCCUCCGGUUUUGCCUGCGAAGCCGGAUGUGACGCCGCAGCAGGCUGGCCCCGUUUCUUUCGCCUUUAAGGGACGGGGUAAGAGAGUUAAAGGCUAGUCCUUUCGGCAGCGGGCCUGCUUACGCGGCCGUAAAGGAUGAAUGACAAAUUGCAGGAAACGCAUGUAGGAGCUCUUAUCAAGUGACUUAAGGACCGGGGUUCGAAUCCCCGCGCCUCCACCA
rnacentral:tmRNA from 3 species